UACGUAGGGUGCGAGCGUUGCCCGGAUUUAUUGGGCGUAAAGGGCGCGUAGGCGGCCACGCACGUCCGUUGUGAAAUCGCCCGGCUCAACUGGGCGGGGUCAGCGGAUACGGUGUGGCUCGAGCAAGCUAGGGGGCAAUGGAAUUCCCGGUGUAGUGGUGAAAUGCGUAGAGAUCGGGAGGAAGACCGGUGGCGAAGGCGGUCUGCUGGGCAGUUUCUGACACUGAUGCGCGACAGCGUGGGGAGCAAACAGG
rnacentral:rRNA from 1 species